CUUAAAGUUCAGUAGAUUAUAAUAGGUUAGUUGGCCCACGCUACAUAGAAUAGCUAUCAGUUGCUUAAUGUAAGAGGAACAUUGUAAGGAAGAAAAAGCAAACAGGAGAGCUGCAAAUAGAGAAAUGAGUGGCUGCCUGUCAAAUCGUUAACACGCAGAUGAUAAAAAUAUCUUCUUGGAAUGUGUAAGCCAUCCCAUUCCCAUAAGGUCUAAGUCAAUCAUAGCACAGAAGAGUAAUGAAAGAAGGACAGUUGUCUCUGACAGAAGACAAAUGUGUCACACUGAGUAUUUAAAAUGUCUGGCAUUUGAUUUAACAUGGACAAGGUUCUAAUAAAAAAAAUGAAAAUUAGAAGACAGUGAAGAAAAUGACGCUAGAACGUCGAACGAUGCUUUGCCCAGCGCCCGCACAUCAUGAGUGGAUACCUCAACUAGUUCCUUAAUCGGCACAGGUUCUUCUAAAGCUAAAUUAAAAACUAUCGUUCGUCAUUAUGAUGAAGAUUGUUUGUCAUUCUGCUUUAUAUCCAGUGAAGAAAAUCAUCCACGUCCCACAUGCAUAAUUUGUGGUGAAAAAUUACCAAACCAAGCGAUGGUGCCAAGUAAAUUAAAAAGACAUUUGCAGUCUAAACAUUCUCACUUGUGCACAAAGCUGGUUGAAUAUUUUAAAAGAUUUGUACUGGAAAAGACUAAUCAAGCAAAAAGACUGUCUAAAUUUGUAAUGGUAUCAAAAAAAGCACAAUAAACAACUCUCGCAAUCGCAGAAAUUAUUGCUAAAAAUGAAAUCUCACACAAUUGCAGAAUCUGUAAUUUUACCAGCAUGCUGUAAAUUUGUAAACAUCAUGUUUCGCAAAUAAUACGAAGAGAAGGUUUUAAAAAUUCCAAUGUCAGAUAACACCAUUUGUCAACGUAUUCAGGAUUUGUCCCAAGAUGUUGAAUUGCAAGUGAUAUCGCAUGUUUGCUAUUCAGCUGGAUGAAUCAACUGAUGUCACUAGCAAAGCUCAUCUCAGCUUCUAGCAUUCAGUAGAUUUAUUUAUAAAGAAGAGAUUAUAGAACAGUUUUUAUUUUGUCGACCACUCA